rnacentral:rRNA from 1 species
AGAGUUUGAUCAUGGCUCAGAACGAACGUUAGCGGCGCGCUUAACACAUGCAAGUCGCACGAGAAAGGGCUUCGGCCCCAGUAAAGUGGCGCACGGGUGAGUAACACGUGGGUAAUCUUCCCUCGAGCGGGGGAUAACAUUCCGAAAGGAGUGCUAAUACCGCACAAGACCACGUCCUCGAAAGAGGAUGCGGUCAAAGCUGGCCUCUAUUCAUAAGCUAGCACUUGAGGAUGAGCCCGCGGCCCAUCAGGUAGUUGGUAGGGUAACGGCCUACCAAGCCGAAGACGGGUAGCUGGUCUGAGAGGAUGAUCAGCCACACUGGAACUGAGACACGGUCCAGACUCCUACGGGAGGCAGCAGUGGGGAAUCUUGCGCAAUGGACGAAAGUCUGACGCAGCGACGCCGCGUGGGUGAUGAAGGCCUUCGGGUUGUAAAGCCCUGUGGGGAGAGACGAAUAAGUGCAGCCUAAUACGUUGCAUGAUGACGGUAUCUCCUUAGCAAGCACCGGCUAACUCUGUGCCAGCCGCCGCGGUAAUAC